rnacentral:rRNA from 1 species
UGCAGAAUCCCGUGAACCAUCGAGUCUUUGAACGCAAGUUGCGCCUUAAGCCGCCAGGCCGAGGGCACGCCUGCCUGGGCGUCA